GCUGGGUAGCUGCACUCCACAACCCUCUUCACUUCAGGAUGGACCAGAGGGAGCAUGGCUGUAGAGAAGCUAGGAGCAUCGCCUAGCCACCUCGGAGAAAGACCAUCCACCCACCACCAAGGAGCUUCACAGGGACACCGGUUUACAGAAGUAAGUUUUGCCUCAGACCUUGGGAAAUUGCUCUCUGAUUGUGUUUAGUUCUAGAAUCAUCUUUCACUCAACCUACCACCAACUCGGGGUUUGCGGGAGAUCCUGGCUGUUUCCUUCAGACAUCACAUCCAGAAACAGCUCUGCCAGAAUGCUAACACUUCUUAAAAUCAUAACCUCCAAUUUCCGUGGAUCUUUCUGCUCUCACUGAUAGGAAGCUCACGACCAAAGUGAAAGCUCCUGCUCACGAUCCCCCGAAGUUGGGAGGGCACGCUUUGCUUGGUCUGUUUUGUUUGAGACAGGGUCUGAUGUAGCCGAAGCUGGCCUUGAAUUCUCUACUCCUCUACCUCCAAAUGCUGGGGUUAGAAGUUUGGGUUACCACACCUACCUAUGCUAGUACCUAUCUGUAAUAUAAAAAAUUUCCCCUAAGCCAGGGCAGAAGGCAAAUCAAUCGAAAGGUUCGUUUCAAGGCUGGCAAGGUCCCUCGGUGGCAGAGAAUCUUGUCACUGAGGAAGCUGCCCUAAGUUUAAUUCUCAGGAUGCAUGUGGUGGAGAGACCUGACUCGUGAGUAGUCCUUUGACCUACACACACACAUAGACACACAUACACACAAACCAUUUAAAAAAAAAAAAAGCUUGUUUCGGAAAGAAUAGGAGGUUCUGAGUGUCAUGGGAGAAGGGGAGUCCCACAGUCCUGCAUGGAGGAAAGGUCAGGCCUAACAAGCAGGCUCUCUACCCUAGGCAGAUUUCCGAGGCCUUCAACAGGCCUUGGUGCCCUUACCCCCCCCACCACCACAGCACCACAGGGAUCCCGUUCCUUUUUCUCUGCCACAGGGUAAGAACUGAGAUUCUUGACCACCCGCUUAGGCAUCUCACAGGGAGAAAGGUUCUCAAAGCCCAGCAAGGGCUUGCUGUAAGUCUCCCUACAGCAAUGCAGGCGCCAAUUCCCACCUUAUUCCUGGUUACGAUGAGAGAUUAGCUCCUAUCAGAAACAAGACACUCAAAC
rnacentral:lncRNA from 1 species